CCCUUAGAUGUUCUGGGCUGCACGCGUGCUACACUGAUUAUUUCAACAAGUGUUUUAACUGGAGAGUUUGCGUAAUCCUGAAAUGCUAUCGUGAUGGGAGUAGAGUAUUGUAUUUGUUAAUCUUUAACGAGGAAUUCCUAGUAAGUGUAGGUUUAUAAGUUGUUCUGAUUACGUCCCUGCCCUUUGUACACACCGCCCGUCGCUCCCACCGAUUGAUUGAUCCGGUGAAUUACAUAGAAUUUUGCGUUUUACAUGACGGAAGAUGAAGUGUUUUAAACCUUAUCAUUUAGAGGAAGGAGAAGUCGUAACA
rnacentral:rRNA from 1 species